rnacentral:rRNA from 1 species
GGCGAACGGGUGAGUAACACGUGAGCAACCUACCCUUGACUCUGGGAUAACAGUUGGAAACAGCUGCUAAUACCGGAUACGACCUCGAUGGGCAUCCGUUGAGGUGGAAAGCUCCGACGGUCAAGGAUGGGCUCGCGGCCUAUCAGCUUGUUGGUGGGGUAAUGGCCUACCAAGGCGACGACGGGUAGCCGGCCUGAGAGGGCGACCGGCCACACUGGGACUGAGAUACGGCCCAGACUCCUACGGGAGGCAGCAGUGGGGAAUAUUGCGCAAUGGGCGAAAGCCUGACGCAGCAACGCCGCGUGCGGGAUGAAGGCCUUCGGGUUGUAGACCGCUUUCAGCAGGGACGAAGGUUUUCUGACGGUACCUGCAGAAGAAGCACCGGCUAACUACGUGCCAGCAGCCGCGGUGAUACGUAGGGUGCGAGCGUUGUCCGGAAUUAUUGGGCGUAAAGAGCUUGUAGGCGGUCUGUUGCGUCGGAAGUGAAAACUCAGGGCUUAACCCUGAGCCUGCUUUCGAUACGGGCAGACUUGAGGGAUGUAGGGGAGAACGGAAUUCCUGGUGGAGCGGUGGAAUGCGCAGAUAUCAGGAGGAACACCAGUGGCGAAGGCGGUUCUCUGGACAUUUCCUGACGCUGAGAAGCGAAAGCGUGGGGAGCAAACAGGCUUAGAUACCCUGGUAGUCCACGCCGUAAACGGUGGGCACUAGGUGUGGGAUCCUUCCACGGAUUCCGUGCCGUAGCUAACGCAUUAAGUGCCCCGCCUGGGGAGUACGGCCGCAAGGCUAAAACUCAAGGAAUUGA